GUCCCGGCGGCCAUUGCUCCAAGAUGGCGGCGGCGGCGGCAGCGGGAGCGCAGCUCAGCUGGGCUGGAACUGCCCUCCUGGAACUCCCCCAGCCUGCAACCUAGGAGGUGCAGGGACUGAGGCUCAGGCCAAAUCGCAACUCAGACCCAGUGAACCCAAGGCCUGAAGAGAAUUUGGAUUCAUUUACAUUGUUUUGUGGGGACUGGAGAGACAAGUAAACUCUCAGAGUAACUGUCCCCUCUGACUACCAUUUCUAAGGCAAGCCCCCUGUUUCUACUCUUGCGCCCCCUUCUGGUUUCCUGCCCUGUCUCACCAGCCUAGGAAUUCCCGGGCCCGGGGGCCCCGUCGUGCCUCUGCUGCCGGCCCCCGUGUUACCGUCUUGGUGCGGGAGUUCGAGGCAUUUGACAACGCGGUGCCCGAGCUGGUAGACUCCUUCCUGCAGCAAGACCCAGCCCAGCCCGUGGUGGUGGCAGCCGACACGCUCCCCUACCCGCCCCUGGCCCUGCCCCGCAUCCCCAACGUUCGUCUGGCGCUGCUCCAGCCCGCCCUGGACCGGCCAGCCGCAGCC
rnacentral:sRNA from 1 species